UCCCUGGUGGUCCAGUGGUUAGGACUCGGGAGCUUUGACUGCUGGGGCCCGGGUUCAAUCCCCGGUCGGGGAA